rnacentral:rRNA from 1 species
AAUCAACGCUGGCGGCGUGCCUCAGACAUGCAAGUCGAACGCGAAAGUUCCCUUCGGGGAGCGAGUAGAGUGGCGUCCGGGUGAGUAACACGUAGGUAAUCUACCUUUGGGUGGGGAAUAACUAGCCGAAAGGUUAGCUAAUACCGCGUACGCUCCUUGGACUUCGGUUCAGGGAGGAAAGCGAUACCGUGGGUAUCGCGCUCUUGGAUGGGCUCAUGUCCUAUCAGCUUGUUGGUGAGGUAACGGCUCACCAAGGCUUCGACGGGUAGCUGGUCUGAGAGGACGAUCAGCCACACUGGCACUGCGACACGGGCCAGACUCCUACGGGAGGCAGCAGUAAGGAAUAUUGCGCAAUGGGCGAAAGCCUGACGCAGCGACGCCGC